GGUUGGUCUAACUAAGUGCAGUGGUGUUUAGAACCAAUUGGUCACAACCAGUUACAGAUUUCUUUGUCCCUUCUCCACUCCCAUUGCUUCACUUGACGAGCCUUGA
rnacentral:Y_RNA from 1 species